AGAUAAAAAGGAGAGGAGGUGUUUGUUCAUCGACAUCGACAUCGACAUCGACCACGAUAUAAUAACAAAUCAUAGCAAAGCUAUUCCAUUAAAUUGUUCCUAUCAAUUAUUUGCACGCACACGCCUCCCGAUCCCAGCCAAUUUCCGGAACCACGCCCAACGCACCGGUCCUUUCUUUCCUCUCUCUCUCUCUCUCUCUCUCUCUCGAUUUCGUGACGAAGAAUUCUCCCCUGCGAUUGAUCCCUGGAUCGAUGGAGUCCAAACUCGAUCAUUCCACCUGAGUCGGCGGGAUUCCAACCCCACGAUGGCCAAGAAUUCUUUCAAGUUGGAGCAUCCCCUUGGUUUGCGCCUCCAAUCCCUCUCCUCUCCUCUCCUCUCUCUCAACAAGUCAUCCUUUUCCUGUUAGGAUUUGGUUUCUGAACGAAUUCUGUUUUCUGUGGCAACUCUGCUUCUAGGAUUUCCCUUUUUGUUUUACUUUCUCUUUUGCUUCUUGUGAUUCUGUGGUCUCGGUUUGGUUCUUCCUGUUGUGGAAUAAUCUUUUGUGAUUUUUUUCAAUGGCAAUUGUGAUAAGAAUUAAAGCAUUUUCUUUUGCCGUAGGAGUUGGAGAAGCAACAGUGAUGAGUCGACAGUGAGAAGAGAACAUGCUUUAGAAAUGUCAUAUUCACAGGAACACCUUAGAGAAUGAGCCUUGUGUUCGAGGAUAAGACAGUACUAUGACAUGACUCUACGGGUCGCAGGUGUUUUCGAACACCUUCGGAAGAGGAUUAAGCUGGGUGCAGACAGAGAAGGGCAUCUUCGUUUUUGUCAAGAACACAUUGUCACCUACAGCUGCAUUGAUGUCUGCCAUCUACGAGGAACACAAAGACGAAGAUGGUUUUCUUUCUUUACAUGACCUCUACAGCGGCGAGAGAACACAUUUGGCUCCUCCUAAGAUGCAGGAGCCAUCCUUGUAGAUAAAAAUCAUGGAAAGUUUAGCAUCCUUGUAGAUAAAAUUCAUGGGGAAUAUUAUCGAAUUUCAUGGCCAUA